CUACGAAGGGGGCUAGCGUUGUUGGGAAUUACUGGGCGUAAAGCGCGCGUAGGCGGACUGAUCAGUUGGGGGUGAAAUCCCAGGGCUUAACCCUGGAACUGCCUCCAAUACUGUCAGUCUUGAGUUCGGGAGAGGUGAGUGGAAUUCCUAGUGUAGAGGUGAAAUUCGUAGAUAUUAGGAAGAACACCAGUGGCGAAGGCGGCUCACUGGCCCGAUACUGACGCUGAGGCGCGAAAGCGUGGGGAGCAAACAGGAUUAGAAACCCCAGUAGUCC
rnacentral:rRNA from 1 species